rnacentral:lncRNA from 1 species
UUUUUUUUUUAAAAAAAAGAUUUAUUUAUUUAUUUAUUCAGAAAGAGAGAGAGAGAGAGGCAGAGACACAUGCAGAGGGGGAGAAGCAGGCUCCAUGCUGGAAGCCUGAUGCGGGACUCGAUCCCGGGUCCCCAGGAUCACACCCCGGGCUGCAGGCGGUGCUAAACUGCUGCGCCACCGGGGCUGCCCUUAUCAACUCUUUUUAAGUCUUUUUUAAAAUUUUCAUUUCAUAGAUCUAUUCUUCCUUUUUUGUUUCCUUUCACUGUAUUCAAUUUUAUUUUUGUAUAUAUAUAUAACUUAUGCUUUCUACAAUUUUGGUAUUUAGUGUCUUCUAACUAACAGACUAAAUACACUCAGGACCAAGUGGAUCACCUGUCUUGUCCAUUUGUGUGAUUAUAUUCUCUCUUUCUUCCCUUUUUCCCCCCUUUUUCUUUACUUUUCUGGUUUCUGACUUCUUCAGCUUUGUCUAGGGUGUAUUUGGCUUGGGUUGCAGUUGAUAUUUUUUAUUUUGUUCUCUUGUUCAUUCUUCUCUGUGCAAAUGAUGAGAAAGAGGAAUUCACAACAAAAGAAAGAAGCAGAGAUAUGGAUAUAAGUAAAAUGUCAGAACUGGAAUUAAGCAUAACAAUUAUAAAAUUACUAGCUGGGCUUGAAAAAAGCAUAAAAGACACUAUAGAAUCUCUUAGUGUAGAAAUAAAGUCUAAUCAGGCCAAAAUUAAAAAUGCUUUAACUGAGAUGCAGUCUAAAAUGGAUGCACCAACAGAUAGGGUAAAUGAGGCAGAAGAGAGUCAGUAACAUAGAAGAUCAGAUGAUGGAAAGGAAGAAAGCUGAGGAAAAGAGAGAAAAACAAUUAAGAGACCAUGAGGGGAGGCUUUGAGAAAUCAGUGACACCAUAAAGCAAAACAACAUUAGAAUCAUUUGGGUUCCAGAGGAAGAAAAGAGAGAGAAAGAGAGGGAUGAAAGGUAUUUUGAGCAAAUCAUACUUGAGAACUUCCCUAAUCUUGGGAAAGAAACAGGCAUUCAAUUCCAGGAGGUAGACAGGACCCCCCCCCCCAUAUCGAUAAAAACAGAUCAGCACCCCAAAAUAUAGUAGUGAAGCUUGCAAAUUUCAGAGAUAAAGAAAAAUCCUGAAAGCAGCUCAAGAUAAAGACUCCUUAACCUACAAGGGUAGGAACAUUAGACUGGCAAUAGAUCUAUCCACAGACACUUGGCAGGUGGGAAAGAGCUGGCAUGAUAUAUUCAGGAUACUAAAUGAGAAAAAAUAUGCAGCCAAGAAUAAUUUAUCCACCAAGGCUAUCAUUCAGAAUAGAAGGAAAGGUAAAGAGCUUCCAGGACAACAAAACUAAAAGAAUAUGUGAUCACUAAUCCAACCCUGCAAAAAAUAUUAAAGGGAGAAGUCCCCUGGAAGGAGAGUCCAAAAGUAAUGUAGACCAGAAAGAAACAGACAAUCUACAGAAACAGGGACUUUACAGGUAAUACAAUGACACUAAAUUCAUAUCUUUCAAUAGUUACUCUGAAUAUAAAUGGGCUAAAUGCUCCAAUCAAAAGACACAGGGUAUCAAAUUAGGUAAAGAAGCAAGAGCCAUGCUGUCUACAAAAGACUCAUUUUAGACCCAAAGACACCUCCAUUUUGAAAGUGAGGGGUGGAGAACCAUUUAUUAUGCUAAUGGACAUCAAAAGAAAGCUGGGGUAGCAAUCUUUAUUUCAGACAAAUUAGAUUUUAAACCAGACUACAGUAAGGGAUGAAGAGUGACACUGUAUCAUACUUAAAGGGUCCAUCCAACAAGAUCUAACAAUUAUAAAUAUUUAUGCUUCUAAUUUGGCAGCAGUCGAAUAUAUAAAUCAAUUAAUAACAAAAAUUAAAGAAACACAUUUAUAAUAAUACAAUAAUAGUAGGGGACUUCAGCAUACCACUCACAGCAAUGGACAGAUCAUCUAAGUAGAAGAUCAACAAAGAAACCAGGGCUUUGAAUGACACACUGGAUCAGAUAGAUUUCACAGAUCUAUAGAGAGCAUUCCAUCCUAAGCAACAGAAUGCAAAUCUUCUCAAGUCCACAUGGAACAUUAUCCAGAAUAGAUCACAUACUGGGUCACAAAUCAGAUCUCAACAAGUACCAAAAGACUGGGAUUAUUCCUUGCAUAUUUUCAGAACACAAUAUUUAAAACUUGAACUCAAUCAUAAGAGGAAGUUUGGAAGGAACUCAAAUACUUGGAGAUUAAAAAGCAUCCUACUGAAGAAUGAAUGGGUCACCAGGAAAUUAAAGAAGAAGUAAAAAAAAUUCAUGGAAACAAAUGAAAACACAACAGUUCAAAACCUUUGGGACAGCAAAGGUAGCUGUAAGAGGGAAAUACCUUGUAAUACAAGCCUUUCUCAAAAAAAAAAAAAAUAGAAAAGUCUCAAAUAAACAAGGUAACCUUAAUCCUAAAGGAGCUGGAGAAAGAACAGAAAAUAAAGCCUAAACUAAGCAG